AAUUUCCUUUACGCAAACACUACAGUUCUAAUGUUGCUUUAAAAGUGUGUUUUUUUUUUCUUCCUUUUUUUAUCUUUCUGUUUGUGUGUAAGAACAGAAUUUAGAUUAAAGCUUAGUCUCAAGCAACCUUAAAAGCUGCCAAAACAACAAACAAAAACCAAAACCACUGCUUCUAAGAAACAACUUUUGAUACUUACAUUGUUUAGUAUAAAUAAUUUGUGGAGUGUAAUUGAGUUGAUCGGAAAAUCAAGAAUCUGAUCGGAAAAACAAGAAUUUGGCCGGAAAAAUGAUGAUGGGUUCAACGAGAAAGAAUGAAUGAAUUCCAAGCAUUUUGGUGAAGUUUUGGAAGAAUUGCAUGCGAGAAAAGAAACGAAAAAGAAAAUCAAGAAUCUGAUCGGAAAAUCAAGAAUUUGGCCUGAAAAAUGAUGAUGGGUGUAAAAGGAAGAAAAGGGUGUUAUUAUUUAUCAGUAAUGUUAGUGUAUGGAGUGAUUUUUUUGCAUUGUUUGGUGAUGACGUCAUUUGCCGGAAAUGUGACGUAUGAUCAUCGGGCAUUGGUUAUUGAUGGCAAACGUAGAGUUUUAAUCUCUGGUUCAAUACAUUAUCCACGAAGUACACCUGAUAUGUGGCCAGACCUUAUACAGAAAUCAAAAGAUGGAGGGUUGGAUGUAAUAGAGACAUAUGUUUUCUGGAACAUACAUGAACCUGUUAGAAAUAAGUAUGAUUUUGAAGGAAGGAAAGAUUUGAUUAACUUUGUGAAGUUGGUGGGGAAAGCUGGCUUAUAUGCUCAUAUACGGAUUGGGCCUUAUGUUUGUGCAGAAUGGAACUAUGGUGGGUUUCCUCUUUGGUUGCAUUUCAUUCCUGGAAUUGAAUUUCGAACAGACAACGAACCAUUCAAGGCAGAAAUGAAGCGAUUCACGGCCAAAAUUGUUGACAUGAUCAAGCAGGAAAAUCUUUAUGCAUCCCAGGGUGGGCCUGUUAUCUUGUCUCAGAUAGAAAAUGAGUAUGGCAAUGGUGGUAUUGAGUCAAGUUACGGUUCUCGUGCCAAACCUUACGUCAACUGGGCAGCAUCAAUGGCUACAUCUUUGGACACGGGGGUGCCAUGGGUUAUGUGUCAGCAACCAGAUGCCCCCCCUCCCAUUAUAAACACUUGCAAUGGAUUUUAUUGUGACCAAUUCAAGACAAACUCUGAUAAAACACCUAAGAUGUGGACAGAAAAUUGGACUGGAUGGUUUCUUUCUUUUGGUGGUGCUGUCCCUUACAGACCUGUGGAAGACAUUGCUUUUGCUGUGGCUCGAUUUUUCCAGCGAGGUGGAACCUUUCAGAACUAUUACAUGUACCACGGGGGAACUAACUUUGGCCGAACCACUGGUGGACCCUUUAUCGCAACUAGCUAUGACUAUGAUGCUCCUUUAGAUGAGUACGGCCUUAUAAGACAACCAAAGUGGGGUCACUUAAAAGAUCUCCAUAAAGCCAUAAAGCUUUGUGAGGCUGCAAUGGUGUCAACUGAUCCAACCAUCACUUCUCUGGGAUCUAAUAUAGAGGCCAGUGUUUAUAAAACUGGAUCACAGUGUGCUGCAUUUCUCGCCAAUGUUGGUACGCAAUCUGAUGCAUCCGUGAGCUUCAACGGAAAUUCAUAUCAUUUGCCUCCUUGGUCCGUGAGCAUCUUACCUGACUGCAAGAAUGUGGCUUUUAAUACUGCAAAGAUUAACUCCGUAUCAACCAUCUCAAAGUUUGUUACUCACUCUUCGGAAGCUGAUGCUUCUGGUGGAUCGCUGUCGGGUUGGACUUCGAUUAAUGAGCCUGUAGGUAUCUCAAGUGACAACGCAUUCACAAAAACGGGGUUGAUGGAGCAGAUAAAUACUACAGCUGAUAAAAGUGAUUAUCUCUGGUACUCUCAGAGUGUCAAUGUGAAAAAUGAUGAGCCUUUCCUUCAAGAUGGAUCUGAAACGGUACUUCAUGUGGAAUCACUUGGCCAUGUUCUUCAUGCUUUCAUUAAUGGAAAGCUAUCAGGAAGUGGAAAAGGCAACAGUGGAAAUUCUAAAGUUUCAAUUGAAAUUCCUGUCACCCUUGUGCCUGGAGAAAUCAAAAUCGACCUGUUGAGUGUGACUGUGGGACUUCAGAACUACGGAGCAUUCUUUGAUCUAAAGGGAGCAGGGAUUACCGGCCCAGUGCAAUUGAAAGGUUUCAAAAAUGGCUCUACUAUUGAUCUUUCAUCGAAGCAGUGGAGAUAUCAGGUUGGAUUGAAAGGAGAAGAAUUGGGCUUAUCUAAUGGAGGUUCUUCACUUUGGAAGUCACAAUCUACAUUGCCUACAAACCAACCAUUAAUAUGGUAUAAGGCAAAUUUUGAUGCCCCUGCUGGUGAUACCCCUCUUUCGAUGGAUUUUACCGGAAUGGGUAAGGGUGAGGCUUGGGUGAAUGGGCAAAGCAUUGGUCGAUUUUGGCCUACCUAUUCUGCACCAAAUGGUGGUUGUACUGGCUCCUGCAAUUAUAGAGGAUCCUACAAUUCUGACAAAUGUCUCAAAAAUUGUGGAAAACCAUCCCAGCUGCUAUACCACGUUCCUCGUUCAUGGUUGAAAUCCAGCGGAAAUGUCCUAGUGUUGUUUGAGGAAAUGGGUGGGAAUCCUACAAAGCUGUCUUUUGCAACAAGAGAGAUACAAAGCGUAUGCUCACGGGUUUCGGAGGCUCAUCCACUUCCUAUUGACAUGUGGGAUUCGGAAGACGAUGCACGAAAGAAAGCAGGUCCUACUCUGUCUCUCGAGUGUCCUCAUCCUGAUCAAGUCAUUUCUUCAAUCAAAUUUGCAAGCUUUGGCACUCCUCAAGGAACAUGUGGAAGCUUUAGCCAUGGUCGAUGCAGGAGCAACCAUGCUCUUUCAGUUGUAAAGAAGGCUUGCAUUGGAUCAAAAAGGUGCAAUCUUGGAGUUUCAAUAAAUGUAUUUGGUGACCCAUGUACAGGAGUCACAAAAAGUUUAGCUGUAGAAGCUUCCUGUAGAUGAUGCCUCGCGGAACUAUUGGACCGAGAAGGCACAUCCCUAAGUGUAGAAGUGGUAGAAGAUAGCUGAAUGGAGUGAUGGUGUUUGAUAUUUGUCUUCCCCGCCCAUGAUUGGCAUCGGCACCCCUCUCUUGACUGGACUAACAUAGCCUGGCUGGCUUCCUCUGAGGGCACUCUGUUGGACAUGUGAGUGUUUUGUAGUAACAAGCUCCUGGCAUGGUGCAGAAAGCCCGUUCUUGGCCCGUACUUGGCAACGGGUCCAACACAACGUAACCGGGAUCUUCAGUGACUGCAUUAACCUCCUUGCCACUGCCUACGGGUGGACCGGCAAUGGUGACUUGUGAAAAAAUGGAUAAGAGGAGCAGAGCUACUAUUUGGCACAACAUUCUCCUAUCCAUCUUUACUAUUACUCAAGCUAAAACUGUUAUUGAAAUUUGUUUCUGUUUUUUGUUGUUGUUGAUAUCUUUGGAAUGAAAUGUUAACUGAUGGAUGGAAGAGGAGUUGAUGGGGUUGAUAUUUAUAUGUGUGGAAAUUAGAGUUGAGACUUAGAUUUCGGCUUAA